GACGAACGCUGGCGGCGUGCCUAAUACAUGCAAGUAGAACGCAGUUGCGAACGGGUGAGUAACGCGUAGGUAACUGCCUGGUAGCGGGGGAUGACUAUUGGAAACGAUAGCUAAUACCGCAUACUACCAGAUGGAACUGCGUGGUAUUAGCUAGUUGGUGGGGUACCGGCUCAACAAGGCAACGAUACAUAGCCGACCCGGGCGGGUGAUCGUCUACACUUGGACUGAGAAACGGCCCAGACUCCUACGUGAGGCAGCAGUAGGUAAUCUUCGGCAAUGGGGGGAACCUUGACCGAGCAUCGCCUCGUGAGUGAAGAAGGUUUUCGGAUCGUAAAGCUCUGUUGUGAAGGAAGCGGUACUUAACCAGAAAGGGACGGCUAACUACGUGCCAGCCGCCGCGGUAAUAC
rnacentral:rRNA from 1 species